GACUCCAUGGGCCCAAUGGUGCCUGUGGGCAUCUCACUGGAGGUUGGGCAUUGGGCAUUGCUGCUUACAAGGUAAAAAAGGUAAAGGGGGACGCGGGUGGUGCUGUGGUCUAAAACCACUGAACCUCUUGGGCUUGACGAUCAGAAGGUCGGAGGUUCGAAUCCCCACAAUGGGGUGA